UAGCACUGUCUUUGAACCCGUUUGGUCCGACCCAUGACAACUCGGGCCAAGCUUCAGUGCUAAAGCAAAAAGUAGGCUUGUUCAUAACUGGAGCCUCAUGGUUGUUCUCCAAGUGGCUCCUUUAAAGCAAGCUACAGCU